rnacentral:rRNA from 1 species
UACAGAGGGUGCGAGCGUUAAUCGGAAUUACUGGGCGUAAAGCGCGCAUAGGCGGCUUUGCAAGUCGGGUGUGAAAUCCCCAGGCUCAACCUGGGAACUGCAUUCGAGACUGCAUUGCUAGAGUAUGGGAGAGGGAAGUGGAAUUUCAGGUGUAGCGGUGAAAUGCGUAGAUAUCUGAAGGAACAUCAGUGGCGAAAGCGACUUCCUGGACCAAUACUGACGCUCAUGUGCGAAAGCGUGGGGAGCAAACAGG